UUUGUUUCUGUGGUUUGGUAUGAAAUAAGGUGGCAGAAACAGCACUCUCCAAAUAUCCAUGCACUCCUGACAUUUUUCAGCAGCCCACAUUACUAAUUCUGGCUGAGGGAUUGGGAGCAGAAGAGACACGUGUCAUCUCUGAGUUGAGGCUGUUAAGAGCUGGUGCAACUUUCCAUUCUUCUCUUCCCCUCUAGCAGUGACCUGAGAAGCUACGUAUUGACACGGCGCUACCACGGGUGGAGGAGCCUGCAUUGCUGAAUCACAGGAUGAAGGCGAAUCCCUGCCAGCCUCCAUCCAUCUCUGGGGUGCUUAGCAGAAUCCUCAGCUCACAAGAUGAAUAAAUGCAGACUAAAUGAUGCACAAAUAAUCUUCACACACAACCAUCAACACAUGGAAAGACUGCAGGACGGCCAGAUCCCAAGCUAACAAACAGGGGAAGAUGAUGUUUCAAAUGAUCAUCUGAAUGCUGGGUUUCCACCUUCCACCAGGAAGUCAUAUGGUCAAAUUAUCCCGGAUCCUGAAAUAUAUCUUUUGAUAGAAAUGACUCUGGUACUUUCCGCAACUUACUUUCUAUGGAGCACUUUCCUGAAACAAGAUUUGUGUUUAAAUAU
rnacentral:lncRNA from 10 species